rnacentral:rRNA from 1 species
CCUACGGGGGGCUGCAGUGGGGAAUAUUGGACAAUGGGGGCAACCCUGAUCCAGCCAUGCCGCGUGUGUGAAGAAGUCCCUCGGGUUGUAAAGCACUUUCAGUGAGGAAGAACGCCUGGUGGUUAAUACCCAUCAGGAAAGACAUCACUCACAGAAGAAGCACCGGCUAACUCCGUGCCAGCAGCCGCGGUAAUACGGAGGGUGCGAGCGUUAAUCGGAAUUACUGGGCGUAAAGCGCGCGUAGGUGGCUUGAUAAGCCGGUUGUGUAAGCCCCGGGCUCAACCUGGGAACGGCAUCCGGAACUGUCAAGCUAGAGUGCAGGAGAGGAAGGUAGAAUUCCCGGUGUAGCGGUGAAAUGCGUAGAGAUCGGGAGGAAUACCAGUGGCGAAGGCGGCCUUCUGGACUGACACUGACACUGAGGUGCGAAAGCGUGGGUAGCAAACAGGAUUAGAUACCCCUGUAGUC